ensembl:lncRNA
UGGUGCGUGCGCACGUUAAUAGCGACGAUAACCUUGAUAACGUCGUGGCAGUUUGUGACCAGCCAGUCACACAGCCAGUCACAUGGAUUUGUCGCUGCCUCGCCCUCAAAAAAUUUGAUAAUUUCCUCACUUGGAUUCAACAAAGGACACAGUGAGAAAGAUCCCUCAUCCUCACCCCUGGAAUAUCGAUUGUGGAGGUCGUCAUGAACAUUUAAAAAUUCACAUGGAGUAACUGCAGAGCAAAUGCAAAGAACACAGCUGAUACACCAGCCAUGCCUUCAUCAUCGACCCUGACAGGUGUGAUGAUAGGUGGUGAAGGGACUGCAAAACAAGAAGACAUUUAAAAACCUCUGUCCUUCCUGGCCUGGACUCCACAGCCUCCAUGACUCUACCAUUGCCAUUUCUGGGGGGGGCGAUGCUGCUGCCAGGUUUGUCAGUGAUGGUGACUGAGGCGUGUCACGUGCAUACGAGCAGUGGGCUUGCCGCAGGCUUGGAGAAAUGAGCAUGCACACCACCCCCCCUCAGAUGUCCUUCCUGGCCUGGACUCCACAGCCUCCAUGACUCUACCAUUGCCAUUUCUUAGGUCCUCGUGCAUCCUUUCCUCCUCUCCAUACCCUCCAGGAAACUGAAAAUCCCCCCCCUCACAAGUAAGGAAAGGAAGAGGCAAAUGCACUGUCCUCAUCACCAUCACAGGAAUCCUCUGAUGGUACAUCCACCUCCACUCCCAGGGCUAUCAUCACUUCAAAACUAUUUGACCCCUCACAAUCCCUCCCCACACCACCCCCUCACAAUCACCCCCCCCCACACCACCCCCCUCACAAUCACCCCCACACCACCCCCUCACAAUCACCCCCACACC